rnacentral:lncRNA from 1 species
UGAAUAUGAUGUUAAUGUUAAUUAUGAUUCGAAUUACUUUGAUUAAUAUUAUUUUGUUAUGAAAUCUCACCCCUUCUGCUUGAAAAUGUUGCCCUUGGUAUGGGUAACUUGCAGGUGAUCGUGUUUAGUGUGCAGUUUGCUGUUGUGAGUGACCUUGCCUCACUGUGUCGUCUAGGUCGCUCUGAUACGUAACGGGAUGGGGUUAUUUGCAUGCUUCAUUCUCUUACGUGACUGCCAUGUUUAUGUUUUAUGUUAUUGAACUAUCUCUUUGAGAAUUACUUGAUGAGGCCUGCGUGCCAAAACACUUUAUGAUUAUGAUAUGAUUUUCUGCUGCAAUGUUUAAGAUAAUUGGUUAAAUUAUUAUUUAACAGUUCUGGACUAUGUUUUAUGCGAUACCUCGUUGAUUAUGAUGCUUACUCU